AGAGUUUGAUCCUGGCUCAGAACGAACGCUGGCGGCGUGCUUAACACAUGCAAGUCGAAUGCGACACUAUUUUCGAAUAGUGUAGCAUGGCAGACGGGUGAGUAACGCGUAACCGACCUGUCUCUUGAUGGGGGAUAGCCCCGCGAAAGCGGGGGUAAUACCGCAUAAGCUCUCUGGAUGAGAACAUCCAGAGAGGAAAACCGGCCUCUGCGAGCAAGCCGGUGUCAAGAGAGGGGGUUGCGUCCCAUUAGCUGGUUGGUGGGGUAAUGGCCCACCAGGGCUACGAUGGGUAGCUGGUCUGAGAGGAUGAUCAGCCACACUGGGACUGAGAGACGGCCCAGACUCCUACGGGAGGCAGCAGUGGGGAAUUUUGCGCAAUGGGCGCAAGCCUGACGCAGCAACGCCGCGUAAGUGAAGACGCCCUUCGGGGCGUAAAGCUUUGUAAGCAGGGACGAACAGUAUACAGAAGAUGUAUACUUGACGGUACCUCUAGAGGAAGCCCCGGCUAACUCCGUGCCAGCAGCCGCGGUAACACGGAGGGGGCGAGCGUUGUUCGGAAUUACUGGGCGUAAAGCGCGCGUAGGCGGCCCUACAAGUGAAACGUGAAAGCCCCCGGCUCAACCGGGGAUGUGCGUUUCAAACUGUAGGGCUAGAGUUUCGGAGGGGGAUGCGGAAUUCCUGGUGGAGCGGUGAAAUGCGUAGAGAUCAGGAAGAACGUCGGUGGCGAAGGCGGCAUUCUAGACGAAAACUGACGCUGAUGUGCGAGAGCGUGGGGAGCGAACGGGAUUAGAUACCCCGGUAGUCCACGCCGUAAACGAUGGGCACUAGGUGUGGGAGAGGAGACUCUUUCCGCGCCGGAGCAAACGCAGUAAGUGCCCCGCCUGGGGAGUACGGCCGCAAGGCUGAAACUCAAAGGAAUUGACGGGGGCCCGCACAAGCGGUGGAGCAUGUGGUUUAAUUCGACGCAACGCGAAGAACCUUACCUGGGCUUGACAUCCUUUGUGUUCUGACAAAGUCGGAAUUGCUCUUUAGAGAACAAAGUGACAGGUGCUGCAUGGCUGUCGUCAGCUCGUGCCGUGAGGUGUUGGGUUAAGUCCCGCAACGAGCGCAACCCUUAUCCUUAGUUGCCAGCGGUAAUUGGGCACUCUAAGGAAACUGCCGGGGUAACCCGGAGGAAGGUGGGGAUGACGUCAAGUCCUCAUGGCCCUUAUGUCCAGGGCUACACACGUGCUACAAUGGCUGGUACAGAGCGCUGCGACCCCGCAAGGGGUAGCAAAUCGCGAAAACCAGCCUUAGUUCGGAUUGGAGUCUGCAACUCGACUUCAUGAAGCUGGAAUCGCUAGUAAUCGCGGAUCAGCAUGCAGCGGUGAAUACGUUCCCGGGCCUUGUACACACCGCCCGUCACGCCAUGGGAGUUGGGUGCUCCUGAAGUGGCCACGCUAACCCGCAAGGGAAGCAGGGCCCCAGGGAGUGUUUGGUGACUGGGGUGAAGUCGUAACAAGGUAACC
rnacentral:rRNA from 1 species